CUCACCCUGCGGUGUUCGAGAUUGCCAUAUAUUCCUUGAACCAUUUAUGUGCACCGGUUGCGGGAUAUGUGUGGUGGGAGUGAUCGUCGCUCGUUCGAUGAACCCGAAACUGUACUAACUGCGACCACCUUGAACCGUUUGGUUCGGGAUGCCGGCAUAGAACGGCACUGGCGGGGUACUG
rnacentral:other from 1 species